GCCCGAUUAUUUCAAUUGGUUAGAAUGCUCGCCUUUUAGCUGUUGAAGCGGGAAGCUACGGGUGACCCCCGUAUCGGGCU
rnacentral:tRNA from 1 species